rnacentral:rRNA from 1 species
UUUUACAAUGUAGAGUUUGAUCCUGGCUCAGGAUGAACGCUAGCUACAGGCUUAACACAUGCAAGUCGAGGGGCAGCAUGACGAUAGCUUGCUAUUGUUGAUGGCGACCGGCG